rnacentral:rRNA from 1 species
UACGAAGGGGGCUAGCGUUGCUCGGAUUGACUGGGCGUAAAGGGCGCGUAGGCGGUUCGUACAGUCAGACGUGAAAUUCCUGGGCUCAACCUGGGGGCUGCGUUUGAUACGUGCGGACUUGAGUGCGGAAGAGGGUCGUGGAAUUCCCAGUGUAGAGGUGAAAUUCGUAGAUAUUGGGAAGAACACCGGUGGCGAAGGCGGCGACCUGGUUCGAUACUGACACUGAGGUGCGAAAGCGUGGGGAGCAAACAGG